GCCUGCGUAGCUCAGUAGGUAGAGCACAUCCAUGGUAAGGAUGGGGUCGCCGGUUCGAAUCCGUUCGCAGGCUCCA
rnacentral:tRNA from 1 species